UCCCUGGUGGCUCAGUGGUAAAGAAUCUGUCUGCAAUGCAGGAGACCAGGGUUCUAUCCCUGGUUGGGAA
rnacentral:tRNA from 1 species